UGGGGAAUAUUGCACAAUGGGCGCAAGCCUGAUGCAGCCAUGCCGCGUGUAUGAAGAAGGCCUUCGGGUUGUAAAGUACUUUCAGCGAGGAGGAAGGCGUUAAGGUUAAUAACCUUGGCGAUUGACGUUACUCGCAGAAGAAGCACCGGCUAACUCCGUGCCAGCAGCCGCGGUAAUACGGAGGGUGCAAGCGUUAAUCGGAAUUACUGGGCGUAAAGCGCACGCAGGCGGUUUGUUAAGUCAGAUGUGAAAUCCCCGGGCUCAACCUGGGAACUGCAUUUGAAACUGGCAAGCUUGAGUCUUGUAGAGGGGGUAGAAUUCCAGGUGUAGCGGUGAAAUGCGUAGAGAUCUGGAGGAAUACCGGUGGCGAAGGCGGCCCCCUGGACAAAGACUGACGCUCAGGUGCGAAAGCGUGGGGAGCAAACAGGAUUAGAUACC
rnacentral:rRNA from 1 species